CACCCACUCAAAUCUCUCGGGAUCCAUCCCCCAACCCCAGCAGCCUCCGACCACCUCCUGGUUUUCAGCGCAGCCGCACCUGAUCCCCUCUCCUCCCUCCAUGGCGACGUCGCAGCCGGCAAACCUAGCCACCAGGACCGGCCUCCUCCCUGUCCUUCCUCCUCCUUCCCGAGGCUCCUUUCUUCUCUAACCUCUCUCCCUCUCGUUCCUCUCGUAGGAGCUCGCCGCCGCUGCCGUGGAUUUGGAGCAGCGCCACCAUCGAGCUUAGUCCGUGGCCGCCGUUGCUCGGAUCCAGCGAUGGCCGACCUGAUCCACACAUUUCGCCCCACGCCGGACCUCCCCUUGUUCUGCUCCCAUCCCAGUCCGCCAAACCACGGCCAUGGCUACCAGAGGCUUGUCGUGGGUCAUCCAGGACCUCACCGUGCCAACUCCAUCUCUUCCUCGCAGGACCGGGGCCUGCUGCUCGCUGCUUGCCAGCCAUGGAACUCGGAUGUGUGCCCCGAACCGUCUCCAUGCACAGGAUUGGCUCCAUCCCCAAGGCCGCCGGACCUCGUCUGCCCUGCUGCAUCGCCGGAUCCGGCCGCCAGGACACUUCAGCGCCGCCGCUUCCUUCCUCCUGCUGCUCGAUCCCAUACUUCACGAACGAGGCGACCAACGCUCCCCUCUGUUGACUUGGUCUAGCGCCAACGUGGACGAGUGCCACAUCGCCCGCGCAUGCCCACCUCUGCCUCAACUUCGCGUGGGCCACCAAAUCCGCGAGGCCCAUGUCUGGUUUUCCUCUCCACCGCCUUGGGCCAAAGCCCAUGGCAUCGAUUUCGUUCUGGAGUUGUGAGAUCCGUUCGACUACGUCUGUUU